AACGUAGGACGCAAGCGUUAUCCGGAGUUACUGGGCGUAAAGCGCGGGCAGGCGGUCUUGCCAGUCUGAUGUGGAAUCUCUCAGCUCAACUGGGAGCAGCCAUUGGAAACUACAAGACUGGAGUCUGACAGAGGUAGGCGGAAUUCCGGGUGGAGUGGUGAAAUGCGUAGAGAUCCGGAGGAACACCAGAGGCGAAGGCGGCCUACUGGGUCAGUACUGACGCUGAGCCGCGAAAGCGUGGGGAGCAAACAGG
rnacentral:rRNA from 1 species